rnacentral:rRNA from 1 species
CGGUAAUACGAAGGGACCUAGCGUAGUUCGGAAUUACUGGGCUUAAAGAGUUCGUAGGUGGUUGAAAAAGUUGGUGGUGAAAUCCCAGAGCUUAACUCUGGAACUGCCAUCAAAACUUUUCAGCUAGAGUAUGAUAGAGGAAAGCAGAAUUUCUAGUGUAGAGGUGAAAUUCGUAGAUAUUAGAAAGAAUACCAAUUGCGAAGGCAGCUUUCUGGAUCAUAACUGACACUGAGGAACGAAAGCAUGGGUAGCGAAGAGGAUUAGAUACCCUCGUAGUCCAUGCCGUAAACGAUGUGUGUUAGACGUUGGAAAUUUAUUUUCAGUGUCGCAGUGAAAACGAUAAACACACCGCCUGGGGAGUACGACCGCAAGGUUAAAACUCAAAUGAAUUGACGGGGACCCGCACAAGUAGUGGAGCAUGUGGUUUAAUUCGAAGAUACGCGCAGAACCUUACCAACACUUGACAUGUUCGUCGCGACUUUAAGAGAUUAAAGUUUUCGGUUCGGCCGGACGAAACACAGGUGCUGCAUGGCUGUCGUCAGCUCGUGUCGUGAGAUGUUGGGUUAAGUCCCGCAACGAGCGCAACCCUCACUUUUAGUUGCCAUCAUUAAGUUGGGCACUCUGAAAGAACUGCCAGUGAUAAGCUGGAGGAAGGUGGGGAUGACGUCAAGUCCUCAUGGCCCUUACGUGUUGGGCUACACACGUGCUACAAUGGUAUAUACAACAGGAAGCAAGACGGCGACGUUAAGCAAAUCCUCAAAAGAU